UUAAACGCUGGCGGCAUGCUUUACACCUGCCAGUCGAACGGCAGCGCGGGCUUCGGCCUGGCGGCGAGUGGCGAACGGGUGAGUAAUGCAUCGGAACGUGCCCAGUAGUGGGGGAUAGCCCGGCGAAAGCCGGAUUAAUACCGCAUACGACCUGAGGGUGAAAGCGGGGGACCGAAAGGCCUCGCGCUAUUGGAGCGGCCGAUGUCGGAUUAGCUAGUUGGUGGGGUAAAGGCUUACCAAGGCGACGAUCCGUAGCUGGUCUGAGAGGACGACCAGCCACACUGGGACUGAGACACGGCCCAGACUCCUACGGGAGGCAGCAGUGGGGAAUUUUGGACAAUGGGGGCAACCCUGAUCCAGCCAUGCCGCGUGCGGGAAGAAGGCCUUCGGGUUGUAAACCGCUUUUGUUCGGGAAGAAAUCCUCUGGGCUAAUACCCCGGGGGGAUGACGGUACCGGAAGAAUAAGCACCGGCUAACUACGUG
rnacentral:rRNA from 1 species